GCUCCAGUAGCGCAAUCGGUUGGCGCGCGGUACUUAUAUGACAGUAUAGAGCAAUGCCGAGGUUGUGAGUUCGAGCCUCACCUGGAGCA
rnacentral:tRNA from 1 species